GUACGGAGUUGGUGAACCACUGG
rnacentral:miRNA from 1 species